rnacentral:lncRNA from 1 species
AGUGACAGAAGCUGAUUAACACAGUACCUGGUCAAGGGAACUUCAAGGAAGAAAGCCAGCCUUAGACUGACACCAGAGAACCAAACUCCAGGGUCUAAGCUCAAGUCUUGCGUGGAUGAGACAGUCCCAUCGAACACCUUACAAAGACAAAUGUUCCCGACAGCACUGGUUGAGUUUAAAACUCAACAGAUCUAUGUUCUUAUCCUUAGACAAGAGAGGGGCCAUAACAAGACAGGAUAGGUGAACAGAUGUGAGAGACGAUGUCCACCCAGAGGGUCUGCAUUUCUGGGAUCCAGAAGUAGGGAUGGAGGAAGUUUGAAAAGUUUGAGGAAUCCGCUCCUGGGGCUCCCCAGGUACGAGGACAAGCUUUUCCUGUACUCAGUGUUCAUCUCUUGGGUGUGCCCACAUUGGUACACAUCAAUUGCUUUAGUCUGCUGCUGCUGUUUCCAAAUUCAAUAAAGAAAGAUAUGGCUGGCUCAGCAGAGAGCUGUCAUCCA